GUUUCUUUUUUCUUCUUCUUCUUCUUGAUC
rnacentral:sRNA from 1 species